GGCAAGAUGGCCGAGUGGUCUAAGGCGCUAGAUUUAGGUCUUCUAUCUAAACCUCUAGUCUUCGGGCGUGGGUUCGAAUCCCACUCUUGUCA